rnacentral:rRNA from 1 species
UACAGAGGUCCCAAGCGUUGUUCGGAUUCAUUGGGCGUAAAGGGUGCGUAGGCGGCGCGGUAAGUCGGGUGUGAAAUUUCGGAGCUUAACUCCGAAACUGCAUUCGAUACUGGCGUGCUUGAGGACUGGAGAGGAGACUGGAAUUCAUGGUGUAGCAGUGAAAUGCGUAGAGAUCAUGAGGAAGACCAGUGGCGAAGGCGGGUCUCUGGACAAGUUCCUGACACUGAGACACGAAGGCCAGGGGAGCAAACGGG